rnacentral:sRNA from 163 species
UGCAUUUGAAGCCCAUGAGGAUGAGAACCUCCGGGGGCGGGGAGGUUCGACUCGAGCGAAGCGAGAGAACGUUGCGCCAGCAACGGCCCGCAGGGCGAGCCACGAAGUGGCGAGUAAUCCUCUAUCACCGACCA